GAAAGAAAAAUCGCAAACGAUCUUUCCCUUCUAGUCAGCCGAGUGGAUAAGUUCAGGAGAAAAAGUUUAAUUUCAAGUGAAGUGGUAAAUGGUGUGAAAAUUGAAGAAUUAGCAAGGGUGUUUUAUGACCAAUACAGUUCAAUUCGUGAGUAGUGCGAUAUAAUUGAGUACCAAACUAGCAAUUUGAGUCGAAGAACAGAAAUAGUUAUCAAAAUUUAAUAACUAGUAGCUGCUGUGCGAGUAAUAUUUGAUGCAAAGCACCACGUGCCUAGGUGUCCCAUAGGUUUGGGCUGGCAUUGGGUCGGCAUCGAAUGAUCGUCGAUUCUCGGUUUGCGGAAAUUAUAGUGCUUGGAAGAUUGGGCAAUCGGCCUGGGUGCGAACCAUAGCCUCGCGGCUGCGCGCCGUAAUGGUCCACUUAGAGAGCGACGGCCAACGGUAAAAAUCUCGGCCUCGCACUGCCACACUACCCUUCGGUGGUUUCUACCUAGCGAGCGUACUAGGAGGGAAAGUUUGCCUCGCCAGCGAGAUUGCCCCACGAUCGACUCACGUACUUCCAUAACGAGCACAGCGUCAACAUCUCCGAGACUCAACCUCGCUACCAAAACCAACGAUACCGCGCCAUCGUCAAACCUCGAGUCGUUGCUCCGAAACUCAGCCUCGCUGCUCAACGACCGCCGGUGAGCCAAACUUCGAUAUUGCUACACACAUCGCCGCGGGUUGCAUGUAGUAGCCAUCACCGAGCCUUCAUCGCGGAGAAAUUUGCAUGCACCGAAGAAGCGUCGUCCAGCAGGUACCAACGCUAAUACCUAGAACCGCAGCGUUGGAGAGCACCGGCGUACAACUACCAACAUCGUCGCCCGCUCGAUCGACCGACGGUUGCACGUCUGCGUCCUGUAUAACUCCUCCGGCAUGUCGGCCAACUGCCGGACAGCUACCUGGCAGGUCUGUUCGGUGCCAUAGAAAUAGUGCAUGUUAACGCCGAGACGCUGUAAGUACACCGCAUGAAUGUAAUAGUACACCACCACCGAUACAAGUGAAUUCUAGAAGUAAGAUAACUUUGCAACUCUUGACCACCAAAGCACGAUCAGUGACGUCACUAUUAGGGACAGAGAGGUUUUGAAAUGCACGCACAGAGAGAGAUUUU